CCUACGGGAGGCAGCAGUAGGGAAUAUUGCUCAAUGGGGGAAACCCUGAAGCAGCAACGCCGCGUGGAGGAUGAAGGUCCUAGGAUUGUAAACUCUUUUUGUUAGAGAAGUUUAUGACGGUAUCUAACGAAUAAGCACCGGCUAACUCCGUGCCAGCAGCCGCGGUAAUACGGAGGGUGCAAGCGUUACUCGGAAUCACUGGGCGUAAAGAGUGCGUAGGCGGGGUAAUAAGUCAGAUGUGAAAUCCUGUAGCUUAACUACAGAACUGCAUUUGAAACUGUUACUCUGGAGUGUGGGAGAGGUAGGUGGAAUUCGUGGUGUAGGGGUGAAAUGCGUAGAGAUCAAGAGGAAUACUCAUUGCGAAGGCGACCUGCUGGAACAUUACUGACGCUGAUGCACGAAAGCGUGGGGAGCAAACAGGAUUAGAUACCCUUGUAGUC
rnacentral:rRNA from 1 species